rnacentral:rRNA from 1 species
GACGAACGCUGGCGGCGUGCCUAAUACAUGCAAGUAGAACGCAGGUGAGAACGGGUGAGUAACGCGUAGGUAACCUGCCUCAUAGCGGGGGAUAACUAUUGGAAACGAUAGUUAAUACCGCAUACUGUGAGAUGGACCUGCGUUGUAUUAGCUAGUUGGUGAGGUAAAGGCUCACCAAGGCGACGAUACAUAGCGGACCUGAGAGGGUGAUCGGCCACACUGGGACUGAGACGCGGCCCAGACUACUACGAGAGGCAGCAGUGGUGAAUCUUCGGCAAGGGACGGAAGGCUGACCGAGCACCGCCGCGGUAAUAC